GUCAGGAUAGCUCAGUUGGUAGAGCAGAGAACUGAAAAUCCUCGUGUCACCAGUUCAAAUCUGGUUCCUGGCA
rnacentral:tRNA from 1 species